UGGUCCAUCCUAAUCCCUGCUGAUCAGUCAGUGAUCUGCCAGGCUUCGCUUGUGGACCAGAGCAUCCUAGAAGCCCUGCCAGAGCUAAGCGAGGCCUUUUUAGGCUUGUGCCAGUGGCGCUUCUGAACACAU
rnacentral:snoRNA from 1 species